rnacentral:lncRNA from 1 species
GGAUAUAAUAUUUAUAGCUGGAACUUGCAGUUUUUGGCUGUGCCUGAGCAGUGAAUUCCGGAGUGGGAGCUUUCUUAGUAUCUAUUGAACCCCUUCUGACAGAUUCAGGUCCUCGUCCUUUUACAGCCUCUGCUCUUUGCCUGAAAAUAUCAGAGUCAACAGGAUAUUUAAUUUACUUGUGAAAUUGCUAAUGAAAGUUAUCAAAGAUUACAUUUCCCCUCAACAUGUCACAUACCUUCUGGCUUCCUCAUCUCGCAACUUGGCAUCCAGUUCCUUGCAUGGAGAAUAUUUUGGUAGACUUGAUGGAUCAGCAGGGAGGGGCUCUAUUCUGAAGAACUGAGAGAAAAUUUCAAUAAUAAUUAAGCCCGUCUAACUCAAUGGUCUAAACGCUCGUCAAAGGUAAUCUAUUAAUUAUAUCAUUUACACUUUCAUUUAACAAGGACAAAUUCAGGAAGCAACUAGUACUAGAUAUAACAAAUGAUUCAGUUUAUACUUUAUUCGGAUAAAAAAGUUUCAGAGAAUUUAGACAGGAAAACUCGACUUGGGUGGCCAAGAGUAAGCUGCUUUUCACCAGAAAAUGGUUUACAAGUCAACUAGUGUCUGCUGGAAGCUAUAUGAUGACACUGGUGCUUUAGGUUUGAUGUGCACGACUCCUUAAGCAGAUUAUAUCAAGAAGUUUUUGACAGGAAUUUGGUCUAAAAUUAAAUAAAAUAUUAGAAAUAAUUACCUCACUUCGAAGAGCUGAAGUGGCUGAACCUCGAUCUUGUGGUUCCAUUGACAGGAGCUUAUCAACAAGAGUCAAAGCUGACGGAGGGAAAUGUUUGAAUGUCUCAGUAAUACAUCGUAUGUAAGAUUGCUGAGGUUUGAAACUAGUUGCAUGUGGAAACUUUGUCUUCUGCCAGUAGAUCUCAGAGGGUGAACCACAAAGCUUAAAAAUCUUAUGCAUUUGCUCUACCUGUAAUCAUUAAGACGAUAGUUCUUAGGACCGAAUACAAUACUGUACGUGGAGUAGAUACUACAAAGUCAUGCAUUGUGAAUGAACAUCCAUGAUACGCUAACACUUUUCUUCUGAUUAUUUCAUGUAGGUGCUUAACUGGGCAUCUUGAACUUGCGUGGAGAUAUGAAAAAUACUGUAGAGCUUAGAAGGAAUUUGAAGAUUCCGAAGCAUGGAAGAUUAGUAAUGCUUGUUGCCCAGUGCUGGCUAAGAUGCAAGCAAGAUGCCGUACAUGCAAAAUGAGCUUACC